rnacentral:rRNA from 1 species
UACGUAGGGGGCAAGCGUUGUCCGGAUUCAUUGGGCGUAAAGCGCGUGUAGGCGGCUCGGCAGGUCCGAUGUGAAAACUCGGUGGCUCAACCUCGAGACGUCAUUGGAAACCGCCGGGCUAGAGUCCGGGAGAGGAGAGUGGAAUUCCUGGUGUAGCGGUGAAAUGCGCAGAUAUCAGGAAGAACACCGAUGGCGAAGGCAGCUCUCUGGAACGGUACUGACGCUGAGACGCGAAAGCGUGGGGAGCGAACAGG